rnacentral:lncRNA from 1 species
AUGCAAUGCCUGCCAGAAGCAAAAAGAUGGUUCUGGACACUCUCAGCAGGCUGUUUCCCGGGAAGAGGGAAGGAACACCUGUGGCAUCCCAGCUGGAAGGGCCCUCUGGGGUCGUGCAGGCCACCUCUCAAAAGUUCAAGAGCCAGCAAUGCUUGUCUGCAGUCCCUCAUUAAGGCCAAUGUUCUUUCCAUUACAUCAUUAAUAAUAUAAAUGGCAUCAACAAUGACCACAACAGGUACUGUUUAUUGCGUAGUGAGUAUGUGUUAGACAUUGUGCCAAGCUAUUGACAUCCAUUCGCCCACUUAACUCCUGCAGCAAACCAGUGAGACAGAUACCGUUCCCAUUUUGCAGAUGAGGAAAAUGAAGCUCAGAAACAUUCAUUAUUUUCCCAAAGUCAGAGUACUGAUACUUAUAUCCAUCUACAGUAUCGAGAGCCAGUAGGGAUGUAUGUGUCAGGGGUUGGUGCUAUGGUUUACAUACAGCAGUGUCUACAUUUUCUUACAUUUAGAGAUGAAAAUGACUCCUUACCCCCCACAUAUCAGGGGCCCUCUGAAUUGAAAAGUCAUGCAAAACUUACCCUGAAGCGCAGCCUGAUUUCAUAUUGAUGAGAACUAACUGGAAAUGAGGGUGUGGAGUUUCCCCAUUCUUCCGCAUGGCAGGCUUUUAGAAUACAGACAUGAGAUGAGUCAGAAGAGAAAUGUGCAGGCUCCAGGCCACAAUGGAAAUACUCAUUUCCCCAAUUGCUCAGCAGCAAAACAUUGAGGCCAACUCUUUUGUGUACGAGGGAUGUUAAAAAGCAUUUUUCAGUCUUAGCAUUGCUUUUAAAAUCAUUAAACCAACUUCUGUUGCACCUGCUGUGGUUUCAUGCUAAGAUCCUACACUCAGGCUUUUUCUCCUCUUGCUUUAUGGGAAGUAUGGUGGAAAAUCACCAGGCCAGCAAGCCUCAGUUGCCACUAUAAAUUUUCCUACUCCUUAAACUUGCCUUCAUAUUUUUCCAAUUUUUGUUAAAAAGCAUGAUUCCCCUAUAACAUCUUGCCUCACUCUGGCACAAGUGAUAGAUCUUGAAUUUUAAAGCCCUGAACAUGCAUCUAAUUAUAACUCAAAAGAUCAAAUGUCCUAAAAGCACCAGAAUGAGUUCUUGAAAUUUCUCCAGGACAAAAUAAAAGCAUAAUAAGAGAGAAAGGCA